CAGGCGCCACAGAUGGUGAGGUUGCGGGUUGUCUUCUGCAUAAUGUUGCGAAGUUUCAAAUUUUUUAUUCAAUGAAUUAUUUGAUUGUAGCGAUUGUAGUGAACAUUUGUAAAUAAGUCUUUUUUUGUAAAAGAUUGCUUUUGCUUCUCGAUCGUUCUACCCAUUGGUAUGGUGUGCUUGGGUUUACUACAUCACAUCAUAAUAUAUGGAGCUAGUCAGAUUAUGUUCAAAGUGUGUGUUUCUGUUCAAUGUGCAGGAUAUUAUCUGUGACCACUCACACUGACGAGGAAGAAAAGAACAUGUCCUGACUAGCAACCAAUCGUAGUUUGGCUGGGUAUUCAACCAGGAAAUCGCGAUUGACUUGACUUGAGAACAUCUCCGGAGAACUUUUUUCUCGCUUGUCUUCCAGUGACGACGAUAGACGAAUAGACGACGAUAGUUCAAUUGUUUUCUGGAAUCCAUUGGAACAGGAUUUGACCAAAAAAAUAAACAGAUUCCAUUUGUCCUGGUUGUCCACCCGAUCGUCUGCGGAUGGUGAUUCCCAGUGGCCGUUGUUUCACCUGUUGAAAAUAAGAAUUGCAAUGUGAACGUGUUCCAACUGUUGCAAAUAUUAGCACCCGAUGUACAAACACGAAUGUUGUGAAUUUCGUUUUGGGGUCAAUGGAGUUGGCGCAGGUUGCCGUUACUGGCCUUUUGCGAUGUCCUGAUAUCAGUUUGGAAGAAGAGCUCUGGGGAAUCGUCACUCAUACUCGAGUCGUAUGUAAGGGCAAAGAAAAGGCGAAAGAAAUCAGAGUGAAUAUCUCCGAUAUACAAGAGCUAAAGUGCACCAUGUGUCACCAACUGCAUUCUUCGUCGCGCUACCAGUUUCAAUCAUGGCUGGGUCGACCACUGGUGUACCGAUGACUCUUGGGUGUGGCGGAUACCAAAGCACUACACUGCCGCAUUACUACACAACAUACAACACAACCAGUUGCUACACCAAUGCCUUAAAUACUACAUCACCAAGGAACCAGAGUGUUACACAACUACAAAUGCCGCGCCAGCUUAUUACACCGAGGCUCCCUAACACAACACCACCAAGGCAUCGGAGUACUACACCACUACAUAUCAUGGUCGUAUGAAAGGAGAGAAAAGGUGAAAGAAUUCAGCAGCCGAGUGAGCAUCUCCGUUACGGUAUAGGAACUGCCGUGCACUAUUUGUCAACAAGUUCAUUCUUCGUCGCAUUCCAAGUUUUAAAUAAAGUAAACUAUGGCGUCGUGUUGCUGUUGGGUGUUGUAUCGUUGAUGGUUGGUUCGGCCAUGGUGUACCGAUAUCUCCAAAGUAUGGGGUGUACCAACAACAACAUACGCAAAAACCGGUUACUACACUGAGACCUGCAAGUGCCACACCACCGAGGAUAACUUGUUACCCCACCGAAGCGCCCAAGUUCUGCACUACAACCUACGUCGCCCCAGCUUACACCACGAAGGCAGCGGAGUACUACACCACGAAGGCAGCGGAGUACUACACCACGAAGGCAGCGGAGUACUACACCACGAAGGCAGCGGAGUACUACACCACGAAGGCAGCGGAGUACUACACCACGAAGGCAGCGGAGUACUUACUACACCACGAAGGUAGCGGAGUACUUACUACACCACGAAGGCAGCGGAGUACUACACCACGAAGGCAGCGGAGUACUACACCACGAAGGCAGCGGAGUACUACACCACGAAGGCAGCGGAGUACUACACCACGAAGGCAGCGGAGUACUACACCACGAAGGCAGCGGAGUACUACACCACGAAGUCACCGUCACGAUACACCAUGGCUCCAGUUUACUUCACUACAACCCACGCUGCUCCAGAGUACUGCACUGAUGUUCCAAAGUACUACACCACCAAAGUCAUCCGAGUAUUACAUCACUACUUUCGUUAGUACCAAAUCCUACACCGAAGCUCCCAAAGCACUUCUUUGCCCCGAGUUACUACACCACUAACGCAGCCGAAUAACACCCCAAACUACGAUUCCGCAAUUUUCUGCAAGGAAAUUCCUUAUUAUUAGAGCCGAAAUUUCUACUCGGGGUUAUUUAUAUGUAUCGGUUAUUUUCAUGGUAAUUGGUCGCUGGGAAUCAAUUGUUGAUCUUAAAUGAGAAAAUAAAAGUUUUAAUACGGGUAA